rnacentral:rRNA from 1 species
CGGAGGGUGCAAGCGUUAUCCGGAUUCACUGGGUUUAAAGGGUGCGUAGGUGGGUUGGUAAGUCAGUGGUGAAAUCCCCGAGCUUAACUUGGGAACUGCCAUUGAUACUAUCAGUCUUGAAUAUCGUGGAGGUUAGCGGAAUAUGUCAUGUAGCGGUGAAAUGCUUAGAUAUGACAUAGAACACCAAUUGCGAAGGCAGCUGGCUACACGAAUAUUGACACUGAGGCACGAAAGCGUGGGGAUCAAACAGGAUUAGAUACCCUGGUAGUCCACGCCCUAAACUAUGGAUACUCGACAUCAGCGAUACACUGUUGGUGUCUGAGCGAAAAGCAUUAAGUAUCCCACCUGGGAAGUACGAUCGCAAGAUUG